rnacentral:misc_RNA from 1 species
GACUUUAGUUUUGAUUUGAAGUUGAGGUUAUUGGUUGUAUUUUGCAUCGUUUAAAAUACGAUAGCCUUUUAUAACUCUUAUUUAUUUAUUAAACUUUAAUAAAUUCAGAAGAUGACGACUAACGGAGUUAUUAACAAUGCGGUAAAAACAUUAAACAAUAUCUUCUGUAUACAGCAGCAUGGUUGUGGAACCUCAUGUAAAAUAGUUAAAUGUUGGAAGUGGGAUAUAGCACAAAUAACUUCACCGCAAACAAGAAGAUAUAUAAAAUAUGCUGUACUUAUAUUAAACAGACCUAUUCUGCAGAGUAAUGAGUUUAUAAAAGAUUUUUGGAAUAAUGCCACAGUUAGAAUAACUAUUGAUGGUGGCACAAAACAGUGGGACAGAUAUCUGAGUAACAUGCCUGAAGGGUCACAGAAAGCAAUGAAGAUACCAGAUCUUGUAACUGGAGAUUUUGAUUCCAUAACGGAAGAUGUCAUGCAGAAAUACAAAAAGAAAGGUUGUAAGAUAGUACACACUCCAGAUCAAAAUCAUACAGACUUUACAAAAGCUUUGAUGGAAUUACACAAAUAUUGUCAAGAAAAUAAAAUACAGAUGGACAAUGUUAUAGCAAUAGGACAAAGUUCAGGCCGACUCGAUCAAAUAUUAGGAAAUAUUCAAACAUUAUUCUUAGCUAAAGAGAAGCAACUAUUAAACCCAAACACUAAGUUGUUCCUAAUGUCAGAUGAUGCUAUAUCAUGGCUCCUGCAACCAGGUGACCAUGUUGUUUCUAUCCCUGAUGACACAAGGAAGCACAAGAGAGCAUGGUGUUCAUUGGUUCCUAUUGGGGAGACUUGUCAAAGUGUGACCUCUAGUGGACUUAAAUGGAAUUUAAAUGAUCAACCUCUGAAAUAUGGUGAAAUAGUAAGCACAUCGAACACAUUCGACGGAUCGGAGAAGGUGAUGAUCAAAUGCAGCAACACAUUGCUCUGGUCAAUGCGAGUUCCGUGCUUAUUAGGUCAAUAAAAAAAUCGGAAAUAUGCCGCACAGUGCAGCGAAUUUAGAGAUAUGCAUUCUACUAAGUAGAGUGUCACAUGUAAUACUGUACAACAUUCGAAGUGGUUUUUUACUUCUUAUUUGAAUUGAUUCUUACAAAUAUAUUACCUCUUCAAAACAAGUUCUUGAUCACCGUUUUUUUAGUAUAAUCAAGAUUAUUCGAUGUAAUAAAAAAUUACAUUCAAGUUGUUACACGGUACUUUCUAAGUUAUACAGGAUGGUGUCAGAAUGAAAAGGGAAAAAAUAUUAGUUUAGACUGUUUGUGGUGCUUAUAAUAAAUUAAGAGUUGAGAUUAAAAAAUAGCAAUACACAUAGAAUGUUUAGCAGCCUCAUAAUACAUAAUUUUCCCGGUACUAUAGUAAAUUUUAAGUGUUAUAAAAGUAAAUUAAAACUAGCUCAAUCUACGACAUACAAUUUAAUAAUGUUUAAAAAUCACUGAAAUUAAAAAAAUCACAUUCAAAUCUUUUUUUAUACUUCUUAUCUAUGAGUGAAGUUUGAAUACUUAGUCCAAUAUUUUUGUAUCGUCAUGUCGAUAAUUAAUAAAUUUCAAUCAGUUAUAAUUAGCAAUAACACCAUCCCAAAUGGGACUUAAAUGGGAGAAACAUUUAUUGUGUAUUCUAGUAAUAUAUUGUGGUCUCAAUAUAAUUCCUUGUUGAUCCAUAUUAGACACUUGCAAAUAUCAUUGGUUUAUUUUUUUAUUUUUGUUUAAUUUUUGUAAUAUUUUUGAAUGUUUAAUUACGUUUUAUUUUUGUAAUACUAAUGCAAAUGUUACAUUAUUAUUAUCUAGUUAAUUUUAAUAUCAUUUAUGUUUUUAUUGUUUACAUGGCAUUGAAUACUUAUAUUGACAUCGGAUUGUCACUUCGAGUAAACAAUUUUUGAUAUGUUAUGAAGUAUGUUUGUAAUUUUAGUUGAAUUAAAUUCUUGUUAUAAAUGUUAUUGUAGACUGAUAGAUCGGGAUAUGCUAUAGAAUGUACUUAUUAGAUUAUAGAAAUGUAUUUAGAAUAAAUAGAUAUGUUCCUGUU